rnacentral:misc_RNA from 1 species
CUCUACCUUAUCCAGCUUCGCCAGAGUUGCUACCUUUCCCUCAUCCUUCAGUUGUAGCUCAUUCAUAUGGAUGUCUAAAUGAGCAACAAGGGCCGAAUGAAGAUUCAAUGCCUACCAAGAACGUAAACUUGGGAUGGAUGUGUCACCAUCCGCCUGCUCCAUAUUGAGGUUCAAAUAUAAACCUAGAGAUUCUAGCGUCUGCCAUUUAUGUCUGUCCUUCUAGUUGUUUAGGGAGGGCAAGGCUCUAGUUAACACGCUACAACUAGGUCGUGCUGUCAAAAGCUUCCAUGGGAUACUUCCCACAAGCGAACAUUUGCGCUAGAAUUCUGUGAUUUACUAGGAUAUUUUUCAAACCAGAUAAAAUUCUGAUCCCAGUAAUCAUUCACCAGGCAUUUGGACCCCACCGAUUGAGCGCCAAGCCAUAGUUUUUUAACGCUUGCAUUAGGAGCCUUUUGAAGGGCAGUCGGAGCCCCGCAUUGAAGUCUUCCUGAUACAAUACAAUGUUGUUAUCCCCGGCAUGUAAAACAGUUUUAAAACCGAGGGCAAAAUGUAAAUCAUAGACAGGAAACGACACAACUACAACUAUAAAUAGCUAGGAAACGAGUAUUUUGUCGUGUACACGCAACAAGCAAAGCUAUCUUAAAAAUCAGAAAUUGAGGAUAAGAGAGAGUGAGAAAGAGAGAUGGCGAUUCAACUGAAGCUGAACCACCUCCACACGUAUGCUCUGAAGCAUGAGAAACAACCCAAGCCGGGUCUCUCCACCUCCGCCCCGCAAAGAUCACAAAAAUUUCAAGCCAAAGCAGCGCCCAAUGCUCGGCAGCUUUUACAGUCCGGUGCUAUUAAACCCAUACCGGCUAAGGACGCAGCCAUGGCCAUGAGUUCAGAAGGUUUUGUGCUUCUCGACAUCAGACCAUCGUGGGAGAGAGAAAAGGCACGAGUAUCAGGAUCACUACACGUUCCAUUCUUUGUCCAGGACUUGGAUAACGGUCCUUUAACCCUUCUGAAGAAGUGGGUUCAUUUUGGCUACAUUGGGCUUUGGACUGGCCAGAAUUUCACCACAUUAAAUCCUGAUUUUCUCCGGCAGGUAGAGACCGCUGUUCCUGAUAAGGACACCAAGCUUCUUGUAGCUUGUGGAGAAGGGCUCAGGUCCAUGAUGGCAGCUACAAAAUUGUACGAGAAAGGAUACAGGAACCUCGGAUGGUUGGCCGGAGGAUUCAAUCGCGCCUCAGAUGGUGAUUUCCCAGAUGUUGAAGGACCAGAAGAAUUACAAUAUGCAACUAUAGGGGGCGUAUCGUACUAUUUCCUUCAAUUGCUAAUUCUCUUACAGGCUGUAGGCAAGAGCAAUUGAUAGGCUAAUGAUAUGACUCUGUUAUAGCUGUCCUUGUUCAUGCAAUUCAAGUAGCAAUUACAAGGCGUGUAUGUUCUAUCGUUGCCAAAUGAAAACAUGGAACAUUGGUUUAACAAACAUAAUUACCCAUCGAUUUAAGCGACACAUACUGCUCAAAAAAGGGGGAAAAUACCGUCUAACAUUAGAACAAUCCACUCUGAAUCUGUAAACUUUCAUAUCCUGAAUCAAUUAAUGCAGUUGAUCAAAGAAAAACUUGUCACAAUUUUUCAGUGUUGAUCUACAUGGAGUUCAAUUCUCAAAUAACGUCCAUUAUCACAUACAAAGUAGCUUCUACAUAUAGACUUUAGACUAUACUCGGAUAAUUUGGAAAUAGAAGCAAGAGAUUCAUCAUAAAAGAUUCCUGCGAUAAUUCAUCAGACAGCAAGUUGUUUGCUACUGCUAUGCAAGUCUCCAGAAAUCUCCAAACAAAACGACAUAACACCUAUUCCGACCUGUUUGCGAACCUUUCCACCUUCUUGUCGUUUAAAUUGAUACCCACCAUAGCCUCACCGAGACCGCAACUCACCUCCGCGAGCAUGUCGGGAUCGCUAUAAUGCGUCACCGCCUGCACAAUUGCUCGGGCCCUCCUGGCGGGGUCCCCGCUCUUGAACACCCCAGACCCCACAAACACCCCAUCGCAACCCAACUGCAUCAUCAACGCUGCGUCCGCCGGCGUCGCGACCCCUCCCGCCGCGAACUGCACCACAGGUAGCCUCCCUAGCUGCUUCGUCUGCAUAACCAAAUCGUACGGCGCAGCAAUCUUCUUGGCAAAACUGAACACCUCGUCGUCGUCCAUGUUCCUCAAAACCCUAACAUCACCCAUCACAGACCUCACGUGCCUAACCGCUUCGAUUACAUUCCCGGUCCCUGCUUCCCCUUUGGUUCUAAUCAUGGCAGCUCCCUCGCGUACCCUUCGAAGCGCUUCGCCUAAGUUCCGGCAACCGCAAACGAAGGGGAUGCGGAAGUUAUGUUUGUUGAUGUGGUUCUCUUCAUCAGCAGGGGUAAGCACCUCGCUCUCGUCGACAUAAUCGAUGCCUAUAGCUUCAAGGAUUUGGGCCUCCACGAAGUGGCCGAUGCGGGCUUUCGCCAUAACGGGUAUAGUGACCGACUGUUUGAUUUCUUUGAUAAGCUGAGGGUCGCUCAUGCGGGCGACGCCACCUUGAGCGCGGAUAUCGGCUGGCACACGCUCCAAAGCCAUGACAGCACAAGCGCCAGCCUCCUCGGCUAUGCGGGCCUGCUCGGGAUUUACGACGUCCAUGAUAACACCGCCUCUUAGCAUCUGGGCUAGACCCACCUUCACGGAAAAGGGGGACUUUUUGGUUUCGGUGAUUGCUCCGUUGCCGUAAACUGCCACCACCCCAGUUCCAGCCAUUUCUAAAUACUGUAGAAGGAGAAAGCGCAGAGAAAGAAAGAGAUUAAUGGGUUAUUACGAUAAAGAGGCGGUGGAGGGUGGUAUAAGUAGCUGCGGUCUGUAAGUGGAUGUGACAUGUAGUAGGAAUAAUGGGUUGUGAUUGAGAUGAGAUAAUUAGAUCGGACGGCUAUGAGAAAGGGUGUAGAUUGGCUGGGCGUAGAUGCGGUAAUAAUUUAGCUAGGUUUUGUAAAACGGAGGCCACGUAUUCUACCAUUUUUCCUCGGUUUGAGCAAAAUAUGGGCUACGUGGAUACUCAGAAAUGCAGUGGUUUAUUCUUCAUUCCUGUGCUCCGCUGCUGCCUGUGGCGAAAUGGUAACUGAUCCGAGAUAUAAUUCGCUGCAGCCUUGCUUAUAUGUUCUCUUUCAUAAGUUUUUUUUUUCUAAAUUUAUUUUCUCGUG